rnacentral:tRNA from 1 species
GGUCCAGGGUUUCUGUUGACCACCUCCAACCACCAUCUUACCUCAAUUAGCAC